GAUGAACGCUGGCGGCGUGCCUAAUACAUGCAAGUCGAGCGAACGGACGAGAAGCUUGCUUCUCUGAUGUUAGCGGCGGACGGGUGAGUAACACGUGGAUCACCUACCUAUCAGACUGGGAUAACUUCGGGAAACCGGAGCUAAUACCGGAUAAUAUUUUGAACCGCAUGGUUCAAAAGUGAAAGACGGUCUUGCUGUCACUUCUAGCUGGAUCCGCGCUGCAUUAGCUAGUUGGUAAGGUAACGGCUUACCAAGGCAACGAUGCAUAGCCGACCUGAGAGGGUGAUCGGCCACACUGGAACUGAGACACGGUCCAGACUCCUAAGGGAGGCAGCAGUAGGGAAUCUUCCGCAAUGGGCGAAAGCCUGACGGAGCAACGCCGCGUGAGUGAUGAAGGUCUUCGGAUCGUAAAACUCUGUUAUUAGGGAAGAACAUAUGUGUAAGUAACUGUGCACAUCUUGACGGUACCUAAUCAGAAAGCCACGGCUAACUACGUG
rnacentral:rRNA from 1 species